rnacentral:lncRNA from 1 species
GAUACCAUGCGAUUCUCCUAUCCGCUGGCAAGUCACGACAACGGACGCUGCUCCACCUCUCAUAACAGAUUCCACAUGGCGGGCCGCGGUGAUGGCCACGUGUCUGCUCCACCAUCUUCCGCAAUCAAUUCCCCCUGACCAUGGGCGGCCCACUACCAGGCGGUUACAAACGUCGNNNNNNNNNNNNNNNNNNNNUUCUCCUAUCCGCUGGCAAGUCACGACAACGGACGCUGCUCCACCUCUCAUAACAGAUUCCACAUGGCGGGCCGCGGUGAUGGCCACGUGUCUGCUCCACCAUCUUCCGCAAUCAAUUCCCCCUGACCAUGGGCGGCCCACUACCAGGCGGUUACAAAUGUCGCCAUCAAUCCGUUGCCUCCUCCGCCUAUAAAAGGGAGACCCAGAUACGUUAUUCUUUAAGCUCAUUUUCCUUAUCUCAAAACUCUGCUAAAUUCUCCGUUCGAGCACUCCAUUCUUGUUGAGGCAGAGAACUGACUUGAGCAUCGGAGGGUCUUGCCGGAGCAACCCCACCUCCGGUUUAGACUUCCCUUGCAGGUCCCGGC